rnacentral:rRNA from 1 species
AUACGUAGGGAGCGAGCGUUGUCCGGAAUGAUUGGGCGUAAAGGGCGCGUAGGCGGCCCGGUAAGUCUGGAGUGAAAGUCCUGUUUUUAAGAUGGGAAUUGCUUUGGAUACUGUCGGGCUUGAGUGCAGGAGAGGUAAGUGGAAUUCCCAGUGUAGCGGUGAAAUGCGUAGAGAUUGGGAGGAACACCAGUGGCGAAGGCGACUUACUGGACUGUAACUGACGCUGAGGCGCGAAAGUGUGGGGAGCAAACAGGAUUAGAUACCCUGGUAGUCCACACUGUAAACGAUGAAUGCUAGGUGUAGGGGGUAUCGACCCCUUCUGUGCCGCAGUCAACACAAUAAGCAUUCCGCCUGGGGAGUACGGCCGCAAGGUUGAAACUCAAAUGAAUUGACGGGG